rnacentral:piRNA from 1 species
UGGGUUUGAGUUACAUUUGGCUAUA